CGCGCAGGCGGCCUUUUAAGUUGGAUGUGAAAGCCUACGGCUCAACCGUAGAACUGCAUCCAAAACUAUUGGGCUAGAGUGUGGGAGAGGAAGAUGGAAUUAGUUGUGUAGGGGUAAAAUCCGUAGAGAUAACUAGGAAUACCAAAAGCGAAGGCAAUCUUCUGGAACAUUACUGACGCUGAGGCGCGAAAGCGUGGGGAGCAAACAGGAUUAGAUACCCUGGUAGUCC
rnacentral:rRNA from 1 species